rnacentral:ncRNA from 2 species
UUGUUAUCAAGAAAGGCGGAAGGAAUAGACCUUGUGAUGCCUUAGCAACCCUUAUAGGUGAAUGGAAUUUCCAAUUCAUAGAACGAGAAGGUGCUACAUUCUACUGCCGUUAAAAUGCAGGUAGAUAACGC